GAACGCUGGCGGCAGGCUUAACACAUGCAAGUCGAAACGGUAACAGAGAAUAGCUUGCUAUUUUGCUGACGAGUGGCGGACGGGUGAGUAAUGCUUGGGUGUAUGCCAAUAGGUGGGGGACAACAGUUGGAAACGACUGCUAAUACCGCAUAAACUCUUCGGAGCAAAGCAGGGGACCUUCGGGCCUUGCGCCUAUUGAUUAGCCCAAGUGGGAUUAGCUAGUUGGUAAGGUAAUGGCUUACCAAGGCGACGAUCCCUAGCUGGUCUUAGAGGAUGACCAGCCACACUGGAACUGAGACACGGUCCAGACUCCUACGGGAGGCAGCAGUGGGAAUAUUGCACAAUGGAGGAAACUCUGAUGCAGCCAUGCCGCGUGUGUGAAGAAGGCUUUCGGGUUGUAAAGCACUUUCAGCGAGGAGGAAAGGGCGUAGGUUAAUAACUUGCGUCUGUGACGUUACUCGCAGAAGAAGCACCGGCUAACUCUGUG
rnacentral:rRNA from 1 species